rnacentral:lncRNA from 1 species
GAAAAAGCAGGACAAUUUUUGCCAUCUCAAACGCGAUGAAGAGAGACUGUAAACUCUACAAAUUGCUUUGAUGUUCCGCCGUUGUCACAUUAUUUAUCCAGCAAUAUCCUCCAUUUUAAAAUAUCUCCAGCCCUCCCCCUUUUGUUGAAUUAAUAAUAAUUUAUAGCGAGAGAUUUCACUUGCAGCGUGAACCUAUCCUUCACUCUUCUUUUUCUUCCCGCGGUCACUUGUUAAAUAAUCUCUCUCUUUCUCUCUCCGUCUUAUUCUCUGUCUCUCAGUUUUGUUUGUUUCCCGCUCGCCUCAUGGGACACCCAGAGACAGACAGCCUUGCCAGAUUCAUUUUCUGAUCAAAGCUGUUUGAUUUGGUCAAUUUUGCCACAUUGGAGACGUUCUCUAUUACUGAGAUAAAUAGCCUCGGGCUAACUGUCAACGAAAACUUGUAAGCUAAUAAAUUAUUCCAAUUUCUUCCAGCUGGAUUUCUCUUGGGAGUCGGCCUCUAGGAAAUACACUUUUUGAUUAGUAAAUUUCUGCCCGUGUGUGUGUCUGUUUGGGUGUGCGAGCGUGCGCAUGUGUGUAUGUCUGGACAUUCGGAUGUGUCGUUUUUGAUUAGCGGGCAGGCUGCUGGAGUGGAAGGCGGCAGAGGGGGCUGUCAGUAGAAGGAGGCCUCUAAUGCAUUAUGCAUUGACAAGGCUUUGGAUCCUGCCACCUCCGCUGGCACGCCUGGGAGAGGAGGAGGCUGAGUCGGGCUCACCUGAGGGGCCUCUGCUCUGCUUCCCCCUCCUCGCUCCUCAGUCCUCUGCUCACACUCCUGGGGGAGAGGAAACUUUGACAGAAGCCAGCCCCCGCCGUCUUCGACACUGCUCCCCUCGGAAAACCCUCAGGGAGCAGUGGAUGCUGCAUUCAGGGAAGGUCAUCUUUGGACACGGACAUCUAUUCUACCCCCAAUACAAGACACAGGCAUUUAUAACUGUCUUGCUGGUGACCCGUUAGCGGAUUAUGGAUGUCCCCCUCGGGCAGUGAUUUGUUUAAUCCGUGGAAAUGGUCCUGGUGCUAUGUAAACAAGCCAAGUGCGGAAUGAAGGUGGCCACCCAGGCGUAGCGGGGAGGCCCUAUUUAUCAGGGACCCUUCAUAAAAUACGGGGACGGCGUUGGAGAAGUGAUGUCUUCAUUUUUCGCAGAGGGCAAAAAGGCUAAAACAUAUUCCAGCGAGUUUAACUGCAAGAGAGGAUUUUUUUUAGCUCAUUGUAAGUGCUGCUGCAGAAGUUUUACUCAAUCAGUGAAUGACAUGAAAGUAUUUUCACGUUAAUUUCCUGGUUAGAAUAUUUCUAGAUUACAUUCAGCAAAGUUGAGUAGUAAACAAUCACAGAGCAAAUUGAAUGAUUUUCUAUUUGUGUGACUAAAUAGGGACUAAAAUGAGUUUAUUUACAAUACUAACUUUAGUCUUUUAGCCUCAUUUAUUGUUUCCUGUGACAGUCUGCUUUACUUGUUAGAUUUGUUUGUGCCAAAUUUCCUGUCGCCAUGUUUUGGGCUCUUAAAAAGCAUAGUACUCUUCGGGAAUUACACUUGUGCUGAGAUGUCUGUCGGUUAGCAACCCUGUAUCCUAGAAAUUAUGUUUGUAUACAACUUAUUUUCAGCAACAAAUACAUUUUUAGGGAAAUAUAAUGCAAACUGAAUUAUGUUUUCUAUUAACACACUGAGAACACAUUUAAUUUGUUUUCCACAAAAUGCAGUAAAGUAUCGACUUGCAGUGUCUACAGUGUUAAUAAACAGUUUAAUGGUUAAGCUCAAUAGUCUAAUUUAAUAAAGAAAUAGUCUAGAAAAUAGUUUAACAUUUACCUGAAACCGCAAAGUGCUUUUGUUCCCACAGACAGCAGCCUGAAUGUUUCACACAAAUAGCGCUAUCAUCCAGGCAGAGAUGAAGUUCAUCACAACUAUAAUUGGUAAAACAAUUUAGAAAUAAACACAAUCUCUAGGAGACACGGUUGCUGCUAAAUAUGAAGCUGCAGACUUGGACACCGUUAGCCUAGCUUAGCAUCAAGACUGGAAGCAGGUGGAAACAGCUAGCCUGUCUGAAGGUUACAAAAUCCGCCUAGCAGCAUGUCUAAAGUUCACUAAUUCAGUGAGUACCGUCAGACAGAGCCCGGCUAGCUGUUCCCCCUUGUUUCCAGGCCUUAUGCUAAGCUAAGCUAACUGUGUCCUGACUGUGGCUUCAUAUUUCUCAUACAGACACGAGAGUGGUAUCGAUCUUCUCAUCUAAUUCUCAGCAAAAAAAAGCAUAUUCUAUUCCUUUUAAUCCACCUUAACAAAUAGAGGAUGUUUAUAUUAUUUUCUCAGCUUUGAUACGAUCUCCCAAUAAAUAAAAAAAAGCCCAGAAUAGAUCAAAUUUAAAUGUGAGAGUCAUUAGAUUACAUGUAAACUAGUGAACACCAUAUGUAGACGGUCUCUGUGUUACAUCCUGUGCCCCCCCCUUCUUCAUCACCCUUCUCCAGAACCACGCACACGGCUGCAGCGUUGGACCCUCGUGGAGAACGGUUUUGGGAGUGAAUAGAGAUGAAGGAGGGGAUAUUAAGUCACUCUAUAUAACAUCCAGGACACAAUGCCGCAGUGAUUGAUGGGGGACAAAGUGGGAACAGCAGGACAGGGAGGGGGAUCCUUGGAGACAGCAGGGGGUGGGGUGGGGUUAGGGGGGAGUAAAUAUUGGAGAGGAAAAGGAGAGGAGAGGAGGUGAACAGAGGGAAAACACAUUUCUGGAGGGACCAGGCGGAGUUUGGAGUCUAUUUGUAUGAGUAAUCAGCCGCCUAUCUACCACCUAACACACACACACACACACACACACACACACACACACACACACACACACACACACACACUGCUCUCUCUCUCUCUCUGUCAGCCGUGUUUACUCACUGAUUUUCUCAACAAGACAGCCAUUGACACUGGAUGGAUGGGGCUAAUCCGACACAGAGAGGAACAGCUCUGCCGGGGUUACAGGUCUGAGAUAGAGCGCCCUCGACACACUCCCCUCACCUAAUCUUCCGGCAAAUAUUUAUCACUAUCAAUUUGGCCUGACUCCGUGACAUUAAAAUACCACGUAUAGAUAACCUCUCGCUGGAGAAUCGAUCGUGGGCUCCUGCCGGCCCGUCCAGCUCUGUCUCCCUGUGUAUCCGACCAGAGGAUCAGAUGGAGAAGGUCACUUUAGUGGCACAUCACACCUGAUACCAAACAGGUCAUCCGUGCUGCUGCUGCCGCUGCUGCUGCUGCAGUGCCCAGGGAGGUCUUAUGCAUUUUAAUGGGGGUUUUGUUAGAGGGUGGUUCAGGAGCCAACAGGGUCCCCGAGAAGCAGGGGGGGGG